rnacentral:rRNA from 1 species
UACAGAGGGUGCAAGCGUUAAUCGGACUUACUGGGCGUAAAGGGCGCGUAGGCGGAUGAAUAAGUGAGAUGUGAAAUACCUGGGCUUAACCGAGGGGUUGCAUUUGAUACUGUUCAUCUAGAGUAUGAUAGAGGGAAGUGGAAUUUCUAGUGUAGCGGUGAAAUGCGUAGAUAUUAGAAAGAACACCAGUGGCGAAGGCGGCUUCCUGGAUUAAUACUGACGCUGAGGCGCGAAAGCAUGGGUAGCGAACAGG